CGUGUAUUUGACAAGCUGAGUUGG
rnacentral:piRNA from 1 species